rnacentral:rRNA from 1 species
UACAGAGGUCUCAAGCGUUGUUCGGAAUCAUUGGGCGUAAAGGGUGCGUAGGCGGCGCGGUAAGUCGGAUGUGAAAUCUCGGAGCUUUAACUCCGAAACUGCAUUCGAUACUGCCGUGCUUGAGGACUGGAGAGGAGACUGGAAUUUACGGUGUAGCAGUGAAAUGCGUAGAGAUCGUAAGGAAGACCAGUGGCGAAGGCGGGUCUCUGGACAGUUCCUGACACUGAGGCACGAAGGCCCAGGGGGAGCAAAACGGGGAUUUAGAAAACCCC